UACGUAGGGUGCAAGCGUUGUCCGGAAUUAUUGGGCGUAAAGAGCUUGUAGGCGGUUUGUCGCGUCUGCUGUGAAAUUUCGGGGCUCAACCCCGAACUUGCAGUGGGUACGGGCAGACUAGAGUGUGGUAGGGGAGACUGGAAUUCCUGGUGUAGCGGUGAAAUGCGCAGAUAUCAGGAGGAACACCGGUGGCGAAGGCGGGUCUCUGGGCCGUAACUGCGCUGAGGAGCGAAAGCAGUGGGGAGCGAACAGG
rnacentral:rRNA from 1 species